GCAGUAUUUUGAAGAACUGUUCACAAUCAAGUUGAUCAAUACUUUAUUACUCUUUUGAGCACAUGGACAUUGAACCUGCCUUACACCCAAGACCUUUUUAGCACAUUAUAAAACAUUGUAUCCAUCAUUCGUUAGACAUUCAGUUAUAGCAGCAACAAAGGCCACCAUGGUCCGGUGUGCAGUGGCCUUUUUUGAAUUCAAAAAAAUGCACAAUGAUCAAUGCAUGGCUGGUCGGAUAAAGUGUCUCCUUCACAACUUUUAAAUUUGAUGCACAAGUAGGGAAGGGGGGUUGGUUUUGGAUCUACACACAAAAAAAUAUAGCAAAGUUAGAAUAUAUAAAAUACUUAAGUUACUUGGGUUAGUUUGAAUUACAUAUGCAAAGGCAUGUGCGCUUACACAAAGUGCGCAUAAACAAAUCCCAAAACAAGCAGGAAGGUUGAUUAGAUAGAGAAAUGGUUGUACCUGCAUGACAUGAGAAUAGAGUAGACAUCAUCACAAGAGCUACCAAGCAUAGAGCUC
rnacentral:lncRNA from 1 species